rnacentral:pre_miRNA from 1 species
UUAACUCAUAUUUAUAUGGAGUUUGAACGUUUGCCUACGUCUGCCGUUAGGGGCGCUGUUGCAACUGCUUACAAAUUUGAUUUA